rnacentral:tRNA from 1 species
UCUGGUCCAGGUGGUUGACCGCCUGGUUGACCUGGGCAAUGCCGUCGCGCUGCUCGGUGGAGGCGGCGCUGAUCUCGCCGAUCAGGUC